rnacentral:rRNA from 1 species
UACGUAGGGGGCUAGCGUUGUCCGGAAUCAUUGGGCGUAAAGAGCGCGUAGGCGGCCCGGUAAGUCCGCUGUGAAAGUCAAAGGCUCAACCUUUGAAUGUCAGCGGAUACUGCCGGGCUAGAGUCCGGAAGAGGCGAGUGGAACUCCUGGUGUAGCGGUGGAAUGCGCAGAUAUCAGGAAGAACACCAACGGCGAAGGCAGCUCGCUGGGACGUUACUGACGCUGAGACGCGAAAGCGUGGGGAGCAAACAGG